rnacentral:rRNA from 1 species
CUAGCCGUAAACGAUGGAUACUAGGCGUUGUGAGUAUCGACCCUCACAGUGUCGUAGCUAACGCGUUAAGUAUCCCGCCUGGGGAGUACGCGCGCAAGCGUGAAACUCAAAGGAAUUGACGGGGGCCCGCACAAGCGGUGGAGUAUGUGGUUCAAUUCGAUGCAACGCGAAGAACCUUACCAGGACUUGACAUGUCGCGAAUCUCAGGGAAGCUUGAGAGUGCCUUCGGGAGCGCGAACACAGGUGGUGC